rnacentral:rRNA from 1 species
GAUGAACGCUGGCGGCGUGCCUAAUACAUGCCAGUCGAGCGAACAGACGAGGAGCUUGCUCCUCUGACGUUAGCGGCGGACGGGUGAGUAACACGUGGAUAACCUACCUAUAAGACUGGGAUAACUUCGGGAAACCGGAGCUAAUACCGGAUAAUAUAUUGAACCGCAUGGUUCAAUAGUGAAAGACGGUUUUGCUGUCACUUAUAGAUGGAUCCGCGCCGCAUUAGCUAGUUGGUAAGGUAACGGCUUACCAAGGCGACGAUGCGUAGCCGACCUGAGAGGGUGAUCGGCCACACUGGAACUGAGACACGGUCCAGACUCCUACGGGAGGCAGCAGUAGGGAAUCUUCCGCAAUGGGCGAAAGCCUGACGGAGCAACGCCGCGUGAGUGAUGAAGGUCUUCGGAUCGUAAAACUCUGUUAUUAGGGAAGAACAAAUGUGUAAGUAACUAUGCACGUCUAGACGGUACCUAAUGAGAAAGCCACGGCUAACUACGUG